UCUACGGGAGCUGCAGUGGGGAAUAUUGGACAAUGGGCGAAAGCCUGAUCCAGCCAUGCCGCGUGUGUGAAGAAGGCCUUCGGGUUGUAAAGCACUUUCAGUGGGGAAGAAAGCCUUGGGGCUAAUACCCUCGAGGAAGGACAUCACCCACAGAAGAAGCACCGGCUAACUCCGUGCCAGCAGCCGCGGUAAUACGGAGGGUGCGAGCGUUAAUCGGAAUUACUGGGCGUAAAGCGCGCGUAGGCGGUCUGAUAAGCCGGUUGUGAAAGCCCCGGGCUCAACCUGGGAACGGCAUCCGGAACUGUCAGGCUAGAGUGCAGGAGAGGAAGGUAGAAUUCCCGGUGUAGCGGUGAAAUGCGUAGAGAUCGGGAGGAAUACCAGUGGCGAAGGCGGCCUUCUGGACUGACACUGACGCUGAGGUGCGAAAGCGUGGGUAGCAAACAGGAUUAGAUACCCCUGUAGUC
rnacentral:rRNA from 1 species